AAGGACUUAGCUUAAUUAAAGUAAUUGUUUUGCAUUCAGUUGAUGAAGUAGUAGUCUUGCAGUCCUUA
rnacentral:tRNA from 1 species